CGAAAGCCUGACGGAGCAAUACCGCGUGAGGGAGGAAGGUUUUUGGACUGUAAACCUCUUUUUUAAAGGAAGAAGAAAGUGACGGUACCUAAUAUAAGCAUCGGCUAACUCCGUGCCAGCAGCCGCGGUAAUACGGAGGAUGCGAGCGUUAUCCGGAAUCAUUGGGCGUAAAGAGUCUGUAGGUGGCACUUCAAGUCUGCUGUCAAAGACCGAAGCUUAACUUCGGGCAGGCGGUGGAAACUGAAGAGCUAGAGUAAAGCAGGGGUAGAGGGAAUUCCCAGUGUAGCGGUGAAAUGCGUAGAGAUUGGGAAGAACACCAGUGGCGAAGGCGCUCUACUGGGCUAAAACUGACACUGAGAGACGAAAGCUAGGGGAGCG
rnacentral:rRNA from 1 species